rnacentral:rRNA from 1 species
AACGAACGCUGGCGGCAUGCCUAACACAUGCAAGUCGAACGAGACCUUCGGGUCUAGUGGCGCACGGGUGCGUAACGCGUGGGAACCUGCCUUUAGGUUCGGAAUAACUCAGAGAAAUUUGAGCUAAUACCGGAUAAUGUCUUCGGGCCAAAGAUUUAUCGCCUUUAGAUGGGCCCGCGUAAGAUUAGCUAGUUGGUGGGGUAAAGGCCUACCAAGGCGACGAUCUUUAGCUGGUCUGAGAGGACGAUCAGCCACACUGGGACUGAGACACGGCCCAGACUCCUACGGGAGGCAGCAGUGGGGGAUAUUGCGCAAUGGGCGAAAGCCUGACGCAGCGACGCCGCGUGGGGUGAUGAAGGCC